UACGGGGGGAGCAAGCGUUGUUCGGAUUUACUGGGCGUAAAGGGCGCGUAGGCGGUCGUGACAAGUCACUUGUGAAAUCUCCGGGCUUAACUCGGAACGGUCAAGUGAUACUGUCGGACUAGAGUACAGAAGGGGCAACUGGAAUUCUCGGUGUAGCGGUGAAAUGCGUAGAUAUCGGGAGGAACACCAGUGGCGAAGGCGACUUCCUGGCCUGUUCUUGACGCUGAGGCGCGAAAGCUAGGGGAGCAAACGGG
rnacentral:rRNA from 1 species